rnacentral:rRNA from 1 species
AUUGAACGCUGGCGGCAGGCCUAACACAUGCAAGUCGAGCGGAUGAAGGGAGCUUGCUCCUGGAUUCAGCGGCGGACGGGUGAGUAAUGCCUAGGAAUCUGCCUGGUAGUGGGGGAUAACGUCCGGAAACGGGCGCUAAUACCGCAUACGUCCUGAGGGAGAAAGUGGGGGAUCUUCGGACCUCACGCUAUCAGAUGAGCUUAGGUCGGAUUAGCUAGUUGGUGGGGUAAAGGCCUACCAAGGCGACGAUCCGUAACUGGUCUGAGAGGAUGAUCAGUCAAAAUUGAAAUGGGAAAAGGUCCCAAACUCCUAGGGAAGGAAGAGGUGGGAAAUUUUGGCAAUGGGGCGAAAGCUGAAGCCAGCCAUGCGGCGUGUGUAAAGAAGGUCUUCGGAUUGUAAAGCACUUUAAGUUGGGAGGAAGAGCAGGAAAUUAAUACCGCGCUGUUUGGACGUAACCAACAGGAUAAGCACCGGCAAACUUCGU